AGAAAAAACAGGAGGAGCAGGAGGAGCGGGAAGAGCAGGAAGAGCAAGAGGACCAGGAGGACCAGGAACACCAGGAGGAGGAGGAGAAGAAAUAAUGAGUGAUUGUGUCUCCGUUUAUGGAAAGAGUUUGAUGGGGUACUAAUGUUGCAUCUUUGAAGAAAUGUGUACUCAAAGAAUUACUCAUGUAGAAUCUCACUGUGCUGCCAUCUGGGACAUCAAGUUCAUUUGUGAACCCAUGCUUCCUCUCAGCAUCAUAAGAAGAUCACUACAGAAGCUGAUCACCACACUUAGCUAGUGGCAAGGAGACCGACCUGAGAGAGACUGCUGGAAUAAAUUUGGAAUUGGGUGAGAAAAGGAUGCUAGGCUUACACCUUUGACAUUGACCUCUAACAUAUUUAUUUAGAAUCAGAAAAGAGAGGAAACUAAGGACAGUAUCAAGAUACCACUACGAAAGAAGUAGCAGCACUUGGCCUCACAUCUCAUAUCUCUGCCAAGGAAGAUGAUAGAGCUCAGGAGUAUUCCACCUACAGCUUGCAUGAAAUGUGGCAUAUCUGACCACUAAGUGAAAAAUGCCCUUGACCUUGCCUGAAACCAGGACCCUGUCCAAAUGUGGAAAAGCAGGGCAAUGAGAAGUUAGGCGUCACUUAGACAAGAAGGAGCAGCAGAAGAAGCAAAGGCAGAGGAUGAGGAGGAGGAAAGAACAAGCAGAAGGAACAGGAAGACCAGGAGGACCAAAGCAACCAGGAAGAGGAGUAGAAAAAAUGAUGAGUGACUGUGUCUAAGUUUAUGGGAAGAGUUUGAUGGGGUAGAAAUACUGGUAAACAAUACUUAAACAUGAAAUUCCAGUAAAAUUAGUGAAAUAUAUCAGAAAGCCUUCAAA
rnacentral:lncRNA from 1 species